GGCCUCUGCUCUGCUGAUUUGCAGGUGGGAGUGCAGGGUGAGCCCGGUGCAGGGGAUAGGAGGUGGGGGAGUCGAGAGCUGGAGUCAGGCGCCGCUCACGCUGGGAUGACGGGGUGUUAACCUCAGACUCUGGGUCCCUUUGGGCCGAAGCUUUAAGAAAACAGGGGCAGCGAGUCCGGCGUCCCAAGGAGCCUUGCCAAGCUGGGCAUGGAGAACGGGCCUCCUGGAUGGCCACCCGCCCAGCUACCAAAGAGGCCGGAGAGCUGGAGCCGGGACUUGGAGGAUCUUCUUCAGAGAGGCAGGAGGGCGGUCCGAACGUGCCCCCACCCCUGACCUCAAGCCCGUGUGGAGAGGGCCAACAGAGCCUCUUGGAGAGCUGGAUUUGCGUCCUCUGCAGCUUGGGGGACACGUCGUUGAUGGUGACUGACACGCCCCAGAGAUAGUGACGUGGUGAUUAAGAGUGACAGCCUGAGGGAGCUGAGCCCAGUAUGGCUGGUCUGGCAGCUGCUGUCAGUGUCGCGACCCCACCCCACUUCCCUGGCUCCCUGCCUCCUUCGCUGGAGAAGCAUCCUCAGCCAAAGGAGCCACAAUACCUGACAGCUGAAGGCAGGGAACACCAGGAGGGGCCCCAGGAAGCUGGCCCCAAGGACGGGAUGCUGCGGGAGGAUGCCCCGCUGUCACCUGGUGACUGGAGCCCGUUGCGGGAGGCCCUUGGCACGAGGUGGCAGAGCAGCUGCUCAGGCCUCCGCCUGUGGUCACCUGGGACAGGACUCAGGUGGACGGGGAUGCCCGGCUCUUUUAAUAUCACUGAUGUUGACAGACAGAUGGGAAAAUAGCCGUGAGAAGGACGUGGAGUGGGGAGGCUGUCACUGAACACUACUGACACUUAGAAGAGGGAAAAUGACAAGUUCAGGGCCACGGAUCACCAAUUUGAAGCAAAGUCAGGAUUCCUUGGCAGAAUUUAAUGAAAUGCUUCUCUUCUAUAGCCAGGGGUCAGAGGGCAGAAGACAAGGUGCAGGACUUCAGAGAAGGCCAAAUUUCCAGCCCAGGGAAGUCCCUUCUCCAAAGUCAGGGCCCCAAGGGGGAGGGUGGGGUCCCUGAUAUCUGAGAUGGACUAUCUGGGGAGACACUCUUGAGACAUUGAACCCCCAGAUUCUCAUGUACCUCCUGGCCUACAGAAGUGACCCAUUCCCUCUGUUGGAAGACAGAGGUCCUCCCUUGC